rnacentral:rRNA from 1 species
GAUGAACGCUGGCGGCGUGCCUAAUACAUGCAAGUCGAGCGGACGGACGAGGAGCUUUCUUCGCUGAUGUUAGCGGCGGGCGGGUGAGUAACACGUGGCUAACCGACCUAUAAGACUGGGGUAACUUCGGGAAACCUGAUCUAGUACCGGUUAAGAUUUUGAACGUCGGGGUUCAUAGGUCAAAACGGUCUUAGCUGAGCCUAGGACGGAUUAGCUAGUUGGUUGGGUAAAGGCCUACCAAGGCGACGAUCCAUAGCAGAUCUGAGAGGCUGAUCAGCCACACUGGAACUGAGACACGGUCCAGACUCCUACGGGAGGCAGCAGUAGGGAAUCUUGCGCAAUGGGCGAAAGCCUGAUCGAGCCAUGCCGCGUGAGUGAUGAAGGUCUUCGGAUUGUAAAACUCUGUUAGUAGGGAAGAACAUAUGUGUAAGUAACUGUGGCCAUCUUGACGGUACCUAAUCAGAAAGCAACGGCUAACUACGUG